AUGGGGGUCGAUCGUAGCAUCGAUGCCCAGCCUGAGGCUGAUUCACACGGAAAGAAGCGGCUAGUCUGGAGCUGGAGGGUUCCUGUCCAAAGCAUCCAGUUCUUGCAUGCGUUGGCCGUCUCCGGCUGCAAGCAAAGCAAGCAAGCUGCGCCAGUCCAAGCAAGGAAUCGAGCGCCCGAGUUCCAUCUGUUUGUUUUGUUGCCUUAUAAAUUGAGCAACAUGAGGGCGCUGAGGGAUCGUGGAGACUGCGUCGUCUGCGCCGACUUGCCGAACUACCCUACCACCACUCAACACAGCUUGGAGGAUGUUGGAAAGUUGUGGAUGGAAUGGGGGAUCCAUGGCUUGAUACUUGUAAGCUUUGGCCUGCAAGUAUUCCUCUUCUUCGCCGCAGGCCUACGCAGGCGUAGCACGUCGCGCAUCCUCAUGUCACUCCUAUGGCUGGCCUACUUGUCGGCCGAUUCUGUAGCCAUUUUCAUCCUAGGCCAUCUUUCUGUCCAUGCAAGCGGGCCACGCCACCAACUCCUUUUCUUGUGGGCACCCUUCGUGCUCCUUCACCUAGGCGGACAACAAACCAUCACUGCCUUCUCCAUGAAGGACAAUGAGUUGUGGAGGCGCCACUUGUUGGGAUUAGUCACCCAAGUAGUGGUGGCCGGCUAUGUCGUAACCAGGCCGUCUUGGGCGGAUAAGCGGCUCCUGGCUGCCAUGGUGCUCAUGUUCCUCUCUGGGUGCUUGAGGUAUGGUGAGCGUAGCUUGUGCCUUUACAGAGCAAGCCCAACGAAUCUCAAGGAAUCUUCGUUGGAUGUCUUGAGAAAUUACGCAAAGCGGGAUCGGGAUCAGGAAGAAAAUGAUGACGGAGAUGAUGGAGAUUUUAUAUCCCGUUUGUUUUCGCCCGACAAUAGAAAAUUGAAUUAUGAGAGUUAUCAAGUCACAAUUGAUAGGAUGCUUAAAGCCGAUAUGAUGCGGCCUCCAUCGCAUGAAUCUUUUGAGAUCUCAACAAGUGCGGCCGCACUAGUAUCAGAGACUCCACUCAGUACUUUAGCUACUACCAAAUCUUUGCCUGGCGACAUACAACACAGUAUCCAAGAGCUCAAAUUGAAUGAAGAUCGUUGCAGGGCCUAUAAUUACGUUGCCACACGACUCACUCAUAUAUAUGAACUCCUCUAUACUAAAGCCCCACGUCAUUCCAUUCUCUUGGAGAUUGUGUUCGGAUGUGCCAGCAUCGGAGUAUUCUUACUUAAGAAUAUACCAAUCCGAUGCCCGACUUACUGUAUCCCUUUCUGUACUGUAUUUAUCAUCCUCUGUAUUCCAUUUGUCGCCCUCUAUUAUCUAUUUUUUGUUCUUCUUUUUUUCCUACUUGUUCUCUUCCCAAUUCUUUCAACCUCGGCAACACUGGUGCUCUUCAUGGUUGCCAAAAAAAGCCAACUCUACAGUCAAGCCGAUGUCAUUGUGUCCUACAUAUUGCUCAUAGGGGCCGUAAAUCUAGAGGUGGCGUCCCUCUUCAUCACCUUUGCAUUGAGUCGAGAAGCUCCCCGUAGGAUUCGAAGUGCAAUAUGGACUUUUGCCAAAUAUAUUUAUCCUGCAUGGGGUACAAAACAGUGGUCUGAGAUGCUAGGACAAUACAACAUGAUCAACAGUGUUACCAAACAGCAUGCUACAUAUAUCAGGUCAUUUGUUUCCCAGUGGAUUGGUAAGCAUCUAGGUGACGAGACAAUAGCACACAUCCCCAUAUAUGAUGACCUCAAGAAGUUUGUCCUUGACAAAUUGUUGGAAUUUGGAACAAAGCCCGAAGAUUGGAACUUUGCCAGCUUUCGUGGACAAUUAGCACUUCGAGACUUAAAGAGUAGGCAUGGGAUAUUCUCAUUUUUAUUACCUGCAAGGUCCGAAACACAUCUACACAAGAGCAUCAAUGAUGUGGACUUCCCAACAACUGUGUUGAUCUGGCACAUCGCAACAGACAUAUUAUACUUCAAAGACACCAACAACAUCGAUUCUUGUGAGCAAAUGAAGACGAUGAGCAGAGAGCUAUCAAAUUAUAUCAUGUACCUUGUCUUCAAGUGCGGUGUGACGCUUACAAACACCACCCAACUCCAACAUGAUAAUGCUCUUAGGGUUAUGGAGGUCAAUCGAGACCUAGGUGAGAAGGGUGCCAUGAAGAAGGUGUUUCAAGCUAACCAACACCAGAAGUGGACAUCAGAAACUCCCAUUCCUCCACUGUUGCCUCGUGCAUGUCAAGUGGCCCAGGAGCUCAUUGACAUCAGUGGAGAAGCUAAGCGCUGGGACCUUAUCGCUGCGGUUUGGUUGGAGAUGCUUUACUAUGUCGCGCCUCGUUGCGGAGGUGCUUUCCAUUCUGAGCAUCUAGCUACUGGUGGGGAGUUCAUCACACAUGUCCUCCUCCUCAUGCAACAUCUAGGUCCUUUUGUAAAACCAUGA
rnacentral:rRNA from 1 species